UACGGGGGGGGCAAGCGUUGUUCGGAAUUACUGGGCGUAAAGGGCUCGUAGGCGGCCAACUAAGUCAGACGUGAAAUCCCUCGGCUUAACCGGGGAACUGCAUCUGAUACUGGAUGGCUUGAGAUUGGGAGAGGGAUGCGGAAUUCCAGGUGUAGCGGUGAAAUGCGUAGAUAUCUGGAGGAACACCGGUGGCGAAGGCGGCAUCCUGGACCAACACCGACGCUGAGUGAGCGAAAGCCAGGGGAGCAAACGGG
rnacentral:rRNA from 1 species